rnacentral:rRNA from 1 species
UACGAAGGUCCCAAGCGUUAUCCGGAUUUAUUGGGUUUAAAGGGUGCGUAGGCGGGUUAUUAAGUCAGUGGUGAAAGCUCCCAGCUCAACUGGGAAACUGCCAUUGAUACUGAUAGUCUUGAGUAUGAUUGAAGUGGGCGGAAUGUGUCAUGUAGCGGUGAAAUGCUUAGAUAUGACACAGAACACCGAUUGCGAAGGCAGCUCACUAAGCCAUAACUGACGCUCAUGCACGAAAGCGUGGGGAGCAAACAGG